rnacentral:tRNA from 1 species
AUCUUGGUAGCUUAAGUAAUAAAGCUUUAGUCUUUUAAACUAAAAAUGUGAAGGUCACCCUUGAUA